AUAUAUUAUAUGAUAGGGGUUAAUGUGUUAAUAAUCACCUAACCUAGACCUUGAAUCUACACCCUCUAACCUUCUAAAUCAUCGACCCAUAACCCAUAACCCUUCUAAAGAUGCAAUGUGAUUUAUUCCCAUUGAUCUGCAUGUCAAAGUGAAGAAAUUCAACCAAGCGCGGGUAAAUGACAGGAGUAAAUAUGACUAUCUUAAGUUAGCCGGAUGCCUCGUCAUCUAAUUAGUGACGCACAUGAAUGGAUCAUUAACGAGAUUCCCCAUUUUCCAUAGCUAUUAUAUUCUAGAGAAACCACAUCCAAGGGAAUGGGAUUGACAUAAUUAGCAGGGAAAGAAGACCCUCAUUUUGAGCCUGACUCUAGUCCUAACCCAUUCACAGUUUGGGA
rnacentral:ncRNA from 1 species